rnacentral:tRNA from 1 species
GUCGGGAUAGCUCAGUUGGUAGAGCAGAGGACUGAAAAUCCUCGUGCCCCAAG